AAACCUCUCAGUGCCAUUAGUGGUAUCGGAGGAACCAUUAGUUGCAAUUGGGAGUUCUCGAUGAGUAAAUUGCCUCCGUUCAAUGCCAUUAUAAGCUUCUAAACUGACAAGAGGCUUCGGUUUCUGAGAUUCAUUGGGCUCAACAUUAUGAGAUCCAUUAACUUCUGAACUGACAAGAGGCUUCGGCUCCAGAGAUCCAUUGGACUCAACAUUAUGAGCUCCAUUAGGCUCAAAAUUAUGAGAUUCAUUAGCUUCUGAACUGACAUGGGGCUUUAGUUUCUG
rnacentral:misc_RNA from 1 species